GACGUCCUGAAGUGUACGUUAUGCAUCCUUUUUGUUUUGACCGAACAUUUCUUUUAACGGGAGUCCGGAGUUUACCGCUUGCGCAAAUGCCUUUUUCGUGAAGGACUUGCAACAAAGUGGAACAGGACACCCACCUGCCGAGGGCGGGCCAAAGCACUAGGCAUCAAACGGCACAAUUUGGGGCGUCU
rnacentral:other from 3 species